CGAACAUGGACAUGGGUGUAUCUUUUAUAGGUCAGGGGAAAACAGAAGGCCUCAAGAUGUUUUGAACUUACUAAUAGCUGGCAUAAAAUCAAUCUAGAUUUCAGUGAUUCAAAAUCUAGCCAUGGAGCUGAAUGAACCAUGUUACCCAGCCAGGUUUUUAAAGCCAGGAUUAAAACUAAACCCUGCGCAGCCGUACUACUAAUACUAUUACAUAAUCUGAUCGUCCAUUAAGGUUAAAAAUAGUCUGUGUAUUUGUGCUUAUAAUAACACAUAUGUCAGUCGUGGGCUUUUUGAGCCGUUACUCCACUGGACUGUCCUGUAAGGAGAUAAUUGUUUAGCAACGUGUUAUCCUUUAAAAAUGCCUCUUAUUAUUUGGCUGAUGGACUGUAUAGAGCAUGCCCACUACUUUGGAGGUUGGUUGAAGUUGAAGGGUGAGGUGACUUAGGAAAUUCAAUUCGAAAUUAUUUGGAAAGACUGGAGUGUUAACUAGAUUCGAGAAGUAUAAGUUUAUUUUAGCAUUUUUCAUAAGUAAGAAAUCAUUCUUCCCUAAAGAAUAAUAGGUUAGGAAAAGCAUAACGGGAGAGUUAUAGGUAAACCAUGAGCCAAAUGCCUUUUUUUCCUUUAAAGUCACAUUUUUAGUGUUGACAUUUUGUUUAAGAGCACCUUAAUGAUUAGGGGCCUCUCUUUUAGAUUUAGAGAUUAAGACAUCCAAAAAAAGUGGAUACUCAGAACAUUCCACACAUAGAAAAGUAAAACCUUUUAAAGUUGAAAGAAACAACAGUUGUAGUGUUUUUUGUUUUGUUUUGUUUAUUAAUGUGGGAGAGUGAUUUAAUGGUCUGUAUGGUCUUUUGGACAUUCUAAAAAUCCUGCUAAAAUGGGAGUAAGAGUUCUAAGUUAAGCAAAAAGGACAACUUUUUGCUCAUGCAUGCUUUAAUACAAAUUGGGAUAUACUGAUAAAGGGAAUUAAAAAAUAUUUUAAAGUGGUGAACACAUCUGGUAACGUUUAUUUUUAAUUUUUGUCUGAAGGUAGAGGGGAUGUGAAUUAGAUAAUAGGUCCUUUCCUAUUCUGUGAGGUACAAUCGUCUCUCUGGGUGAUAAAGUACAUAUCCUAUUAAUAUUAUACUUAGGAUUUUGUUCCUCUUCUUCCCUUCCAAAUUCAUUUUUCCAUUUUGUAAAUAAUAAAGAUUUCUGUUUACCCAUUUGCUCCUUUUCUCCUCCGUCUUCCCUUCAAUGGAAGCUGACAUUUUACUGAUGGUUUACCAGUCUAGGUAUCCUGCUGAGAAGUAGAUUGAGAUUUAAGAAAAGCAACUUACCAUUGGAAUGAAUGAGAUUUACUGAGGAAUUCUAAUUUUUUAAAGUGCUUAAUUUGACAGUGGUUUACCUACUGUUCAGCUGACUCAAAGUGAAUUAUUAUGCAAAGAACUGAUUUGGAGGUUCUUUUGAUGUUACAUGUUUCAGAUAUAAAUUUAAUUUUUCAGAAAAAAUUGAAUUUUUCAUAGAAUCUUAUAGACUUCAAAGCAUGUGUGCUACAAAGAUUUUGUAAUAUAUAAGUUAUAUAGGUGGCAAACCUUCCCAUUUUGAGUAUUAGUCUGACUGCAUUAAAUAAACAGACAGCAAGGGGAAAAAAAUACAGAAUUUCUGACUCAGAUCAUAACUCCAUCUCCUGUCAAACAGCAUCACUGCUAAUGGUUGCUGGUUAUUUUUUAAUAAGACAUAAUAUAGUUAUUAAGCUAGUAAUCUUUGAUCAGCCCUUGAUUUUAGCUGAAAAUAUAUUGACCGUUUAUUUCUGUAUUUGUGAUUUUUCAAAAGUAUGAAUUUUUUAAAUCAAUAUGUUAACUGAAAACUAUGAUAAAUACUAUAAAAGAAAAUUGUCAGUGUCACCAGGUAUUCCUUAAAUUUAUAUACUUAGCCUUGGUUUAAGAGGCCUAUUUUAUGUAUUUUAGUCUCAGUAUGCUUAGAAAAUUAGUAAUUGCUUCUAGAGCCUAUUUUUUUUCUUCCUCACUCCAUUGAUUUUCAGCUUUGAAGUUGUGAUAUUGCAUUUUAAAUUUAUUUUUUAUUUCAACUACUCCCUAUACUUCACUCUCAUUUCUGCCUAGCUUGUUCAUAUUCUUCUUUUUCUACCUCCCACCCCUGAGCCACUUGCCUUUUUUUUUCUUUGUGGUUAAAUGAUUUAUAAGUAGCUUUAUUAUUCUAGUUUUUGUGGAUUUUUUUAUGACAUUCCCUUGAGGUAUUCAGAGAUUCUUUUGGACAUUAUCAGGGCAAAGAAGGUGAUACACUAUAAAAGGUUUCAUGGGAGUUCCAGGGAACCCUGUGAUGGUGACAAACUGUGACCCAGUAUAUUCCUAAAAAUAGAGAGAUGCCAGCCUGAAUGGGCAUUUUUUUCCCCUUCUCAUUACCAGCUAGUGAUGUGAUGCUUCUCCUGAUUAAUCUCUGGCAUCACAGUGGCUGGAAUGAAGCUUCAGGGAGUAAGCACAAAGUGGUUCAGCAAACACACUCAAAAAGAGCUUAACACAGCAAAUAUAUUCUUGCAGAAAAAUAAGACCAAAAUUUAGCAAUAUGAUUAGUCCAGAGCAUGUGUUGCUUUUUUGUUUGUUUUUUUUUUUUUUUUUUGAGAUGGAGUCUCCCUCUGUCGCCAGGCUGGAGUGCAGUGGUGUGAUCUCGGCUCAGUGCAACCUCUGCCUCCUGGGCUCAAGCAAUUCUCCUGCCUCAGCCUCCUGAGUGGCUGGGAUUAUAGGCAUGCGCCAUCACGCCCAGCUAAUUUUGUAUUUUUUGUAGAGACGGGGUUUCUCCAUGUUGGUCAGGCUGGUCUCGAACUCCCAACCUCAGGUGAUCCGCCUGCUUCGGCCUCCCAAAGUGCUGGGAUUACAGGCGUGAGCCACAGUGCCCAGCCGCGUUCUUUAUUACUAGAAAGAAAGUGAUUUUCCAAAUGUACAGCUAUCCUUUUAAAGUGUCACUUUCUGCCCAUUUCCCACAUAAGAGCAUAAAAUUAAUGCUUGUCCAGAGCAUACAGUAUUUGUUAUUGAUUCAUGUGCCUAUGGUUUUAUUACAUAUGUUUUUAAUAUGUUAGUAGUCAUUAAUUUUAAAUAAGUACCUUUAAAAAGAUAGGAAUUGUGAAAGUUUGUUUUGUGCCAACAGUCUUAUAUGCAUGUGAGUGCUUAAUACAUAUCUCUGGAUAGUGUGUUUAGUUUCAUGUAUCACAAAUGGCAACUAAUCUCAAAGCAGCAAAAUCUUAUCAAUUCCAAAGAAGAAACACAUGUUGGAGUCUACUAUAUAUCUAUUUCAAAUUGGUUGAAAUGAGGUUGUUUUCAGAUCAAUUGAAAAAAUGCUAAUAAUAGUUUUUUUUCUCAUGCCUGUUGUACUGAAAUCUUACUUGGAGUUAGGUUUUGCUUUAGAUUUUAAAGACAGCUCUUUGACCGAGCUUCUUUUAAGUUGUACAAAAAUUACUUCAACCAUUAGUGUUACUACUAACUUAAAGAACAGUAAUGUUGGCCGGGCGCGGUGGCUCACACCUGUAAUCCCAGCACUUUCGGAGGCCUAGGCCCAGGAUCACAAGGUCAAGAGAUCGAGACCAUCCUGGCCAACAUGGUGAAACCCCAUCUCUACUAAAAAAGUACAAAAAUUAUCUGAGCGUGGUGGCGCGCGCCUGUAGUCCCAGCUACUCAGGAGGCUGAGGCAGGAGAAUCGCUUGAACCCAGGAGGCGGAGGUGGCAGCGAGCCGAGAUCGCGCCACUGCACUCCAACCUGCCAACAGAGUGAGACUCCAUCUCACAAACAAACAAACAAACAGUAGUGUUAACUUAGUAAUUUUAGCUCAAGGCUAAUAAUCAGGAGCGUCUACAACUAAAUUAAUGAGUAUUCUUCUCCAUUUUCUUAUUUAUGAAAAGAAUAUAGCAUUACUUCAUGAUUAUUUGAGGGUAAUGAAUUUAUGAAGUACUCGAAUUAACAUUUAUACCCGCCUUGUCUAUAGUAUGAAAACCUCUGGACUCACGUGAUUGCCAUCAUGUGCCACGUUGAUGAAAUUGAGCUCUUAGAUAAUCAGAGUCAAUGUUGAUUAAUAUUUUUAUAUUUUAUCACAUUGUAAUUUGUUAACAUUGCUGAAGAGUGUUAUACGUGAU
rnacentral:lncRNA from 10 species